CCUACGGGCGGCAGCAGUGGGGAAUAUUGCGCAAUGGGGGCAACCCUGACGCAGCAACGCCGCGUGAUUGAAGAAGGCCUUCGGGUUGUAAAGAUCUUUAAUCGGGGACGAAUUUUGACGGUACCCGAAGAAUAAGCUCCGGCUAACUACGUGCCAGCAGCCGCGGUAAUACGUAGGGAGCAAGCGUUAUCCGGAUUUACUGGGUGUAAAGGGCGUGUAGGCGGGCACGCAAGCCAGAAGUGAAAUCUGGGGGCUUAACCCCCAAACUGCUUUUGGAACUGCGUGUCUUGAGUGAUGGAGAGGCAGGCGGAAUUCCCAGUGUAGCGGUGAAAUGCGUAGAUAUCACGAAGAACCCCGAUUGCGAAGGCAGCCUGCCGCAGCGUUACUGACGCUGAAGCUCGAAAGCGCGGGUAUCGAACAGGAUUAGAUACCCCUGUAGUC
rnacentral:rRNA from 1 species